rnacentral:lncRNA from 1 species
ACUGGAAACAAGCUGAACUAGAAAAGAAGAAAGCUCAAAAGGAAGCCAAAAUGGAAAAUGCAAAGGGAAUUAAUUUAACAAAGUAGGGCGUGCAGUGAACCAGAAUUGUUUAAAUAUUUUCUCUGGAUAUUGUUGUUCAACAUGGUGCACCGAUGUCAUAUCAUGAUUGGACACAUGGACUGUUGGAAUGCAGAAAUGGAAUUAUUCAAAAAUUAAAAAAUUUCUUUAAUUCAAUAAAUAAGAUCAUCUAAAUGUGCACGUGUAUGUUAUAUAAAAAAUAAAG